CUUCCCUUCUCUUCCCUUCCUUUCCCUUCCCUUUCUUUAUAAGAAAUAACCCUCCCAAGCAGAGAAGAAAAAAGGCACUCAGGAUUUUUGUGGACGUAGACAAGAGGUUUUUCCUUUUUUAGGUGAAGGGAAAAUUAAAAUAAAAAUAGUAUGACUCCUUCCCUUAUUCAAUCAUUUUUAAUACCAGAGUCUUAAAAUCUGGUUUGGAAGAGUGAACAUUCACUGCAGAAAUAUCUAAGCAUGAAUUUUUUUUGCACUUGUCCUGGAUAAGUGACACUAACACCCUCCUGAAUACUUUUCCGAUACAUGGAAGGCUGUUGAUUGCCAGUUCAUAGAUGCUGGGGCCAUUUUGUUUGUUUCUUUAGAUGGUGUUAAUGUUGCUGCCAUCUCACAGUAAAACACCAUGCUGUUGCUAACUAAGAAUUCACUGGAACACUCAAUUACUGAAAAACAGUUUCAGAAAUCCUUCUGAUUCAUGAAUGUAGCUGUGCUGAUUAGGGGUGGUAACAACACAACCAUAGCCAGCUUCCUCUCUGUCAAUAAAUCUGUAGUUUCAGUCUGGAUGAGUAACACUAUCUAGCUUCUGAUAUUGUUCCAUUGUUUGGCACUCAGGUGUAAUGUGAACCCGGCUGCUGAUGGUCAGUGAAAGCGAUGCCAACCUAUGUUUUGGUCAGCUUAUUGUUGUGCAUCGUACUCCAGCAAACUGUUUACCUUUGUAAUGUAAGGUGUCCUCACCUUCUCCUGUGGCUUCAGCUUGCGUUUGAUGAACUAUUACGUCUUCCAGGGAUUUCCAAUUUGUUUGUUUUGAAAGUGUAUUUCAUAUGUGUGAUAAACAAGCAACAGAUUAAAAAGAAAAUCCAACAUUUAUGAGUUGCAUAUUGUGAUCCACCAAACAGCUCUGAACUGCAAGUCACAGGAAGCAGGGUUGGGAAAAUCUGUUUGCUCUUCAGCCCCUGUCAGUGUUCAGAUACUUCUCUACAGGAUACUGUCAAGUGCUUUUUCCAGCCCACGGUUAACUAGCAUGUUCCGACCAGCCAGAUUAAACAUUCCCAUGUGGGUUGAGCGGGGUGUCUAUUGCAAUAAAGGCUGUGAAUACCCUUGAGCUCAGCUAGCUUUCUCUGGGCUUUGCUGCCUUGUUGGCUGGUGCCAGCAAAGGAAAAUCAAUACAGAACACGUAAAUUUGCUGGCCAGAGGUCUGGAAUAACUCCUGAUGCAAAGAAGGAAGAUAGAGACCCCAUUUCUGUAAGAAUUUUUUCCAGUAUUUAAAUUUAAAUGGGGUUAAUUUGGGAACAGAAAGUUCUAGAAUGGGCAUAUCUGUUUCCAGGAAAGAAAGAAAAAAGCAUGUAUUUCUCAAUCAGCUAAAAUGUCCCUGGCCAUAUGUAUUGGCAUUCUGACACCUCUUUCCACACAAAACUAGCCCUGGAUGUAAGAAUGCAAGUAUUUUUUCCUUUUUUUUUUUUUUCUGCUUAAAGUUAAGUCUAGAAAUAAAUCUUUUUGGGAUCCAAAUCCUGUUAAAUAGUUUGUGGUGCUGGGGUUUGAUGGACUGCACAGAAGAAAUCUUGACAGUUUCAGAUUUGACGUAAUUAACUGUUAGGUGGGAGAAAAUACUCUGUGACUUUGCUCCUCUUAGACUUUGUAUGGGCAAACCCUAAAAUGGAAUGGCUCGUGUGCUUGAUAUAAAGUAGAAGGGUAAGUAAUGGCUGUUAACAUGGUCAGAUUAAGGAAAUAUAGGUCAGACCUAUAGAGAUUUUAAAGAGAAUCUGUUCGUUUUCAUCAGAAACAUAACAGUUAAGAACUGCCGUCGCUUCUGUGUGUACAACAUCCCAUUCAAAAGCAGGAUAAUCACACGUCUGGACACACCUUUUUCCACCUAGCAAUGUUCUACUGUCAGAAAAGGAAGAAGGUAAGUGUUCAUCCUGCACUCCCAGCUGUUAGACAGAUGUCCCAAGUCCCAUAAACAAAGCCAUGGUGGCUGCGGAGAAUAACAGUGCAAAGGGUGUGCAACGAGUCCAAUGUGUCUGGGAUGUGCUAAGCAUCCCUCUCUUCAGCUGCUGGAUUGAUCUGCAUGCCCACACCAAGCACCAAGCUGUUCCAGCACUGCGUGAGCUCAUUGUGUUGAGAUUUCCCAGAUGGAAGAAUGGGAGCAUGAGGUGGAUGGGCAUGCAGAAAAAAAGCCUGCGUGACUCUUCUCACAAGCCUGAGCAAGGAAUGGGGGGAAAAAAUCACCGCUGUCUCUGUCUUUUGCAUGCAGCAGCUGUGAACCUAAAGAUUGUGAGCUUCUUGAUGGUCUGUGACUGUUCCUAUGUGGUUGUUGAAAGAUGUUCACUGGCAUAGGGUUCAAGUCACUACAGAGCGAUCUGCAGCUCCACUGGAAAUUUUCUAUGGGAUGAAAACUGUAAAACCCUGAAAAUAAGAGUUAGGUUAACGUGGAAAAUGCUGGAGUGAUCUGGUGUCACACACUUUACUGUGCCUGAUUGUAGAAUUUGGGUUUUGGCACAACUUGAUGUUGUUUUAUGUGGUGUUCUACUUACUUGAAAGAUGGUUACAUACAUACAUGUAUCUUUAUGUCUGCGACUUAUACUGUAAAAAUCUCCAUAACAAAUAUUUUGAGGUAUGUAUGCAUGCACAAAUAUAUACAUGCACACACACA